AACGUAGGACACGAGCGUUGUCCGGAAUUAUUGGGCGUAAAGAGCUCGUAGGCGGCUUGUCGCGUCGGAUGUGAAAGCCCGGGGCUUAACUCCGGGUCUGCAUUCGAUACGGGCAGGCUAGAGUUCGGUAGGGGAGAUCGGAAUUCCUGGUGUAGCGGUGAAAUGCGCAGAUAUCAGGAGGAACACCGGUGGCGAAGGCGGAUCUCUGGGCCGAUACUGACGCUGAGGAGCGAAAGCGUGGGGAGCGAACAGG
rnacentral:rRNA from 1 species